rnacentral:rRNA from 1 species
UUUUAAUGGAGAGUUUGAUCCUGGCUCAGGACGAACGCUGGCGGCGUGCCUAAUACAUGCAAGUCGAGCGCGGGAAGCGGACGGAAACCCUCCGGGGUGGAAAUCCGUGGAACGAGCGGCGGACGGGUGAGUAACACGUGGGCAACCUGCCUGAAAGUC